AGGGUUAUAUUUAAUUAUAAUAUUUGAUUUGCAAUCAAAAGGUGUUAAGUAAAAUAGUAACUAACCUUU
rnacentral:tRNA from 1 species